UUUAAAGAGAGUUUGAUCCUGGCUCAGGACGAACGCUGGCGGCGUGCCUAAUACAUGCAAGUCGAACGAACGGAGGAAGAGCUUGCUCUUCCAAUGUUAGUGGCGGACGGGUGAGUAACACGUGGGCAACCUGCCUGUAAGUUGGGGAUAACUCCGGGAAACCGGGGCUAAUACCGAAUGAUAAGAUGUGGCGCAUGCCACGCCUUUGAAAGAUGGUUUCGGCUAUCGCUUACAGAUGGGCCCGCGGUGCAUUAGCUAGUUGG
rnacentral:rRNA from 1 species